UCCAUUUACUUUUGUGUCUAUUCAUGUUUGUCAUCAAAGUCUGAUUGAUGUCCAUGCUGUGUUUUCUGUCUGCCUUCUCAAUGUUUGUCUGUGGUAAUCUUGGUGGUGCUGAUUGGGACAUAGAAGAAAUUGUUCCUCUGCCAUGCAUAAACAUCUCAGCUGAAAGAAACUGAAAUGGAGUAACCUCAAAUACAUGCUUAUCCCAAGAACAAGAAUGCAGAGGUUUAGCUCUUCUUCUUAUGGCAAGCACACUGAAAAUGUGAGAGAUAGAGAUGAAAUAGACAUCCACCUGCCUUACACAGCCUGUUCCAUUGAACACAGACUUACACAUUUGUUUGAAAUCUUGAUUUGCUGUAUGCCUGCCCAAACUGCUUCUGAUGGGGAGAUAACACUGCU